GGCGUGUGCGGUUCUUGUCUGCAAUCCCUUCUGCACACGGAGUGACUGCCUGAGGAAGAAGCCCUCUCCUGCCCUAUGUCCCCCAUGGCUCAGCACUGCCCACCCAAGGCUGGAAGAAGUUGGUCAUACGGAGUUCCCUUGGCGCCUUCUGCCCUCUUAAGGUCUUCAAUGCCUGCUAAGAUACUCAGCAAUGGAAAUGAUGCUGAUGCUCCUCUCCUGCCAAAAGAUAAUCCCCUCCACGUUCACAUUUAGAGCACACUGAGGCAGCUCUGGUGCUCCUCUAACCACACCAACAUUUUUUUCAUGGCACAGAAUAAAUGCCUUCUCAAAACCACAGGUUUGCCAGCAGAACUACGGUAACGCCUGCUUAGAAAAUAGUUGAGAAUGUAAUUAUAAGUAUAUACAUUCAAAAGACCCACAGGUGACCAGAUCGAGUCUGAUAAAAGAUGCCUUUUAUUGUCUUGACCAUAUAUUUAUAUAUAAAAGUGUAGUCCUGACCAAUGCAGGUCAGUGCCACAUAAACAUUCCACAUGCCAACGUACGCACUGAAGUCAUUGUUCACAGCAAUAACCUCUCCUUUUAAUAAACCAUCUCCUUUAUGCAGAAAUGCCUAAAGGUUUUCUAAUGUAUAUCAGUCUUUUGAACAUCACAUAAUCAAUUUAACACGAGAAAGGGAAAAGAAAUGUACCUGCACGGAUCCCCGCAUAUUCAGAUAAACCUUGCUGCUAUGAAGUUAGCAUAAAACCACACCAAAACCAGAUGAGGACAAACAGUUGCGGUGAAAGCCUGAUUUCUGACCAUGUAUUUACUGCAUUCUGAAUUCUAUUCACCUUUUGUGUGUGUGUGUGUGUGUGUGAAAUUGUUUCAGUUAUACAGAUUAUCUUGGAGUUUUCACAAUGAAGCUAAUGGGUUUCUAAGACUUUCAUAGCAUGCGUGAGCUGUAAGACAAGGAAUAGUAUAACAUUCCUUCACUGGCAGUGAUUUAAUAAUCUCAAUAGUAAAA
ensembl:lncRNA